UACGGAGGAGGCAAGCGUUAUCCGGAAUUAUUGGGCGUAAAGCGUCCGCAGGUGGCACCUCAAGUCUGCUGUCAAAGACCGGGGCUUAACCCCAGAAAGGCAGUGGAAACUGAAGUGCUAGAGUGCUGUAGGGGUAGAGGGAAUUCCCGGUGUAGCGGUGAAAUGCGUAGAGAUCGGGAAGAACAUCGGUGGCGAAAGCGCUCUGCUGGACUGCAACUGACACUCAGGGACGAAAGCUAGGGGAGCGAAUGGG
rnacentral:rRNA from 1 species